UACAGAGGUCCCAAGCGUUGUUCGGAUUCAUUGGGCGUAAAGGGUGCGUAGGCGGCGCGGUAAGUCGGGUGUGAAAUCUCGGGGCUUAACUCCGAAACUGCAUUCGAUACUGCCGUGCUUGAGGACUGGAGAGGAGACUGGAAUUUACGGUGUAGCGGUGAAAUGCGUAGAUAUCGUAAGGAAGACCAGUGGCGAAGGCGGGUCUCUGGACAGUUCCUGACGCUGAGGCACGAAGGCUAGGGGAGCAAACAGG
rnacentral:rRNA from 1 species